UCGUAACAAGGUCUCCGUUGGUGAACCAGCGGAGGGAUCAUUACCGAGUUAUACAACUCAUCAACCCUGUGAACAUACCUAAACGUUGCUUCGGCGGGAACAGACGGCCCCGUAACACGGGCCGCCCCCGCCAGAGGACCCCCUAACUCUGUUUCUAUAAUGUUUCUUCUGAGUAAAACAAGCAAAUAAAUUAAAACUUUCAACAACGGAUCUCUUGGCUCUGGCAUCGAUGAAGAACGCAGCGAAAUGCGAUAAGUAAUGUGAAUUGCAGAAUUCAGUGAAUCAUCGAAUCUUUGAACGCACAUUGCGCCCGCCAGUAUUCUGGCGGGCAUGCCUGUUCGAGCGUCAUUACAACCCUCAGGCCCCCGGGCCUGGCGUUGGGGAUCGGCGGAGCCCCCCGCGGGCACACGCCGUCCCCCAAAUACAGUGGCGGUCCCGCCGCAGCUUCCAUUGCGUAGUAGCUAACACCUCGCAACUGGAGAGCGGCGCGGCCACGCCGUAAAACCCCCAACUUCUGAACGUUGACCUCGAAUCAGGUAGGAAUACCCGCUGAACUUAAGCAUAUCAAUAA
rnacentral:misc_RNA from 1 species